AAUGAAAAUAGAGUGGAAACAUGAGUUGAUCCAUAAUGAGUAUUAGAUUGAAGUUCUCUUAAAGAAGACCGCCAACUCCUAUCCCGAAGAUAGAAAGCGCCCGGUCCUCUUCUCUUGUGUCGAAGUGUAGUGUAGUGUGGUGAGGUUUUGCCUCACAGAAAGAGUGGGAGAAAAAAACGAAGAAUUUCGAAUCUAAUGAGUAUUAGAUUGAAGUUCUCUUAAAGAAGACCACCAACUCCUAUCCCGAAGGUACAAAGCGAUUCUAUGCCAACACGAGUAGUUUAACUCAUCACUACCUCGUAAGGGCGUUGAGAAUUGUUUCCAACUUGUUGAAGAUCUAGUGGUGCUACCCGAAGACUUAAAUGAAUAGCCAUCGCUCUUCUGUUAACAUGAACAUGAACUAGAUUCUAUUCUAAUUCUUUAUUCUUAAGAGAAUCCCCCACCCGAACUAUUCUUAAGACCACCAAGCUCUCUCGAAUGAAUUCUACUAUUUCUGCUUUCGAGCUACACCAGGGGCAAAAUCUUUUCCCCACUAAGACGUGCAUCUUUAUGGAUAUAUCUUCCUGAAGGCGGAUGCGACAGGAAGAAGUGGCAUUUGGAAGUGUUGCUUACUUAACAUUUAGGUUUUGGCAUAACAAAGCUUGCACUGUCUUUUCGCACUUAGGCGCACAGCUUUCCCAAUGGCGAAAACUUAAAAUCCAUGGUUUCCUGGUAAAACCCUAUUUCGCCCAAGUUGUUCCGAAAUCAAAAAAAAGAACCUGAACCCUGUCUAUGAGCAUAGCAAUCCUUUGAAUCUUUCCUAAUCCGCUUUCUCUUUUUCUUAUGCAUUGGGAACCUAGUCUUUAGGAGAAGCAGUUGCUCACUCGUGACAAUGGAUGUCUGCUUAUGUCAAACUAUCCUCAAUCUCUUUCCCCUAAUGAUAGGAUUUUUUUCAUUCCUUCACCUUCGACCCAAGCAAAAGGAUUUCUAUUCAGUUUAUCAACUUUACCGGGCAUGGAAGCACUCAAGCUAAAGCAAAUGCACCUAAUGAAUGGCUACUGGCAAUUGAUCCUGCAAGACCCUAGACUCGCUCUAAGUCCCUCCCUCUGAUGCCCAUGAUUCUUCCUAUUCAAAUUUAGCUAUGCUAAUGGAAGAGGAAAAGUUUUUGGUCCAUUUUCGUUCUCUUCCCUACCCGGGAAGGGGGAUCAAAGAAAGGUAGCUUGCUUAUCUCCUUGACGCUAUACUGACAGUUCACUGGAUGGGAUAGCAGAGACAGAAAGGAAAAGAAGUAGUUCCGAAAGGAGACUCCACCUAGCUAGUGCGCUCCUCACCUCAAUGCUACACUUCGGCAGCUACGAACUAAGACGCUUCAGAAGAAAAGCUACAUCCACUACCCGCAUUCACCCUGAUAGGCUACGCCGAGCUUACCCAUGGCCUUACUGCCCGAUUUUGAUUUCUGUCCCCGCGGGAGACAUCGUAAAUAGUUAAAUGUUUGAUUCCCCUAUUGAAUUAGGAAUCGAUUGAAUGGGACUUGCCUAUCCCUUAUUCAUAUCCGAUUUUUCUCUCUUUCUUUUUGAUACUUGGUUGGCAGGGUCAGGGCCUUUCUUACUGGGCGAGCUAAUCCGUAUCAUUCAAUGUUAAUGUGACCUUAACAGCCUUUAUUUUAAGCAAUUAUUCGCUCCAAGACGCACGGCAAGACCUUCGGUCUCUCUCUCUCUCCAUAGAAGCAAGCCUUUUUUUACCGGGGUUCCCUCUUUAUGGUUAAAAUCAAAUGCCAACGUGCUUGAAACAUAAAGUUUGAAGUGGGAUCUAGCCUUUGGUCUUAGUUAAGAGUUUUGCUACUAAUUGUGGUCAGAUGGGGCAUAAUCAAAGAAUUUGUACCUAUCAAAUUAAAGAAAAUAGAGUUCUUCCUUCUAGGCUUCUUCCUUAAUCAAGAAAAGCCUUUAUGUGUGAUGCUUCAAUGACUUAGAAAUCGGUGGCUUUGGUUAGGUGGAUCAAGCCACCACUGCUUUUUGUCAAGCUUAAUAGUAGAUCUCGGCAGAGGGUUCAAGAAUAGUGUAGGGUCCUGUCCUUAAGAUUCAGAUAAGAAGUGCUUGCCAUGCGAAGAGAGCUCUCACCUUGACGAGAGGAUUGGCAGGACGAAGAUCCUGAACAACCUCUGAAUCCGGUUUUCUCAUUAGGAUAGGAGGGAAAUCGGCAGCUUGACGGGGAUCUUGCACGCUCGCCCGAUUAGAAGAUGGAGCUGACCUCGCUGCUGACCUGGGAGCAGGAUUGCUACCGGUGGAAAGCAUAAAGCCGCCCAGUUUCAGUCUAAAUGAUUUGGUAGUUGGAAAAAGGCGUCCCAACCCGUUCAUUUCAUGAAGAUGGACACUGGCUUGGGUGCGGGCGCCUAGUCUAAGCCACGCUAUGAGAACUGACAAGCCUAAGGGCUAGUAGUAAGGCAUUGGGGAUCGUAGACCACUAAGGAGAGAGGCCAGUAAAUAGCACAAUACUUCUUUGUAUUCUCCGCUAUUUGAAUAUCUUUCGGAACCAUACAUCCUACAGCUAACAUGUGUCCAGUUCACAAUCACAUGAACUGUUCAACCCAUCUGAAUGAAAUGCAGGAAUAUACCCUAGACAAUGGAAGAAGUCUUGGUGUGAAUGAGAAAUAUAAGUUUCCUAUUUUCAUAUGAAUCAAUGGGAUUAUUUCAAAUUGUUCAAGUGGGCUGGAGACGAGAUCUUUCGAUAGAUCCACCGCAUCUUUAAACUCUUCUCCCCCUACUCCGUUUUGCUGCAAAUCUAUCAUCUUGUCAGGAAUUGCUUUAAAAUUGGGAACCUACGAGCUUUUAAGAAUUUCAAUACCCAUGUUUCCCAUAGAGAUGUGAGAAGUUUUUCUUUCGCUAUUGAGUGACCGUCCUGUUAGCAGUGCCAUACUAGAUUGGCAUUCAAUCUAUCGAUUUAAUUUCUUCUCAAACUGACCUAUUACGCACUUGCUGGUUGCUCCGUUAUAUGCAUGCUAAUGGGGCAAGCUCAGACCUCGGCUGUGAAACUAAUGUUUUUAAGUUUCUUCCUUAGGAUGAUAGUUUAUAUAAAUAGACCUAUUUGCCGAAACGUAGCUUUCUUUCAUAUAUAGAAUUCUCUUUGAUUGCUUUUUAUGAAGUCGCACCGGGAGCUAGUGCUUCCUAUCUAAGAAUUGCUCUAUGGAUCUCAUCAUAAAUGUUUGAUGCUUCUUGGGGAUUCUUUGGCGACCAAGGGAAUUUGCCUCAACAAAACAAGUUUUUAUUUUCAGAAAGAUCCCCACGCUGAGGGAUGAACCUUGCCGGAAAAUACUUCUCUUCAUCACGAGACUAAUUGGAUCUGCCAUAGACACCUGAGCGAUCUUCACAAGGCAGGCUAAAAUAAAAGACUAGGAGGCGCUGGUCUAAUCCUUUUGCCGCUGCAAGGCUGGAAGGUUCGAGCAUGAUGGCGGUUAGUCUUCCUCGUCUCUUUCGGGUGGGCGGCAGGAAUAGAUCUUCUAGAAUCAGUAUUCAGGCAGUGGCCGUAUAGUCUUUGGUUCAUUGGAUGGUCGGUGCAAGGCCAGAAAUUGGAACACAUUGAUUCCGCUUGUUCCCGUCCUUUGCUUCAGGGCCUGUCCCUCUGUGUGGUCAGUCUAAAUUCGUCUCGCUGCCGGCUAUGGUUUGGACCUUUUGCCUCUCCUUUGUCUCAAUGUUUAUCUCGUAAUCAUUCGAUUCUGCCCCUAACGCUAGCUCCUACUCCCCAGCCGGGGUGAUAGACCACCGCAUGGCCGAUAUGAUUACCAGCCAAUGAGAAAUUUCCACUGGAUUUAUUGUUCGAUAUCGCGGAGAGAAGGGAAUGCGUCGAGGCGGCGCACAAGACAACUACAUUUUGGAUUUUCCCUCCAUGAGAUGAGCCAAGUGCAUUGGACCAAUGGAGAUAAUGGCUAUUCAGUUAUCUGCUGAAAUCUGUGUGCAUAAAGGCUGGAUUGGUUUCCCCACCUUAAAGAACCGAGCAUUUUAAGGGUCACUUACUUUUUCUUUUGUCGAUUUCAAAUGGGUUUGGUUGGUAUAAUAGCAAAUAGGAAUAUUCGCCCCCUUCUUUAGUGCUUGUUCAUUAUAUAAGACUUCCUUCCCGUUCUCGGUGAAGGAAUCGGAGUUGCUAUAGAAUCAGCAUCUUACUCUUUAACGGCAAGCUCAGCAACGAGAAUUUUUCCUCUGCUGGAAAGCAGUCCUUCACAGAUAUGGGAGCUUACUCUACAGUUGCUGAGAAGUUGAUGAAAUAGUGAGUUAAAUGAGAGGAUAGAGUCAAAGGCGAGCUAAUGAGCUUCUCAGUCAAUGAAUAGCUUCCCUUGAUGUGAGAAGAACUAUCUAUUUGAAUGAUUAAGAAAGUGGCCCUCCAUUCCUGCUUUAAAGAGUAGAUUGAAGAGCUUAUUUAUUCUCCUACUACUCCUCCCGGCCCUGUCCCGCAGCCGGCCAAUCUGCUGCCUUAACAUUAGAAAGAUCAUUUUUGUUCAACGCAAAGGGUUAACAGUUGAUAGGCAAGUCAAGCGGUAAAUCAGUAAAUCAACUAAGAAAGGCACUAAUAGCUAUUCAUUCACCAACAACAGCAGCAAGGCAAAGUGGAAGGAGAAAAGAAAGAAGGAUCAAGUCGAGUGUAGUUAGAAAUAGACAAGAGCAUUCCAUGGAAUAGGCCUACGAGAGGUAUUCAACAAGCGCCACUCAACCGCGCAAACUAAGCCCUCCAUAGAAGUUCAAGAAAGUAAAGCUACAUACUACUGGAAAGAUAUGGGCUUUCUCCUUUCUAUUUCUUGCGGGCUAUCGAUUUCGGGUUGGGACUUUGCCUUUUUUUGUUAAAAACUUAUUCAAAAGUAUUCAAAGAGCCUUUGCAUAGUUUAUGAAUUCUACUUAGUAGGGACCUAAACAAAGGAAUGUUUUCUUCUCAGAGUCAGACCAUGCCUAUUAACAAAAGGGGGAGAAAGGACGGAUCACCUGUCGAUCUUGAUCAAAGAAAACAUCCGAGUCCCCACAUCCGCUUUUCUCCGCCCGCAACCCAAUAAGUUGGCAAAGCAAACAAAAGAUUAGGGUCAUCCCCUUCAUUCAAUGCUGACCUCUGCCCGGGCUGGCUUCUUGGGAAGCCUGUUCCCACCGUGCUCACGGCCUAGCUGGCUUGCCAGCGGUAGUGGGAAUUAUCCCUUUCCCUGGUCAAAGACUUGGUUGGAUGUGGUAUCUACUCCACGAGGAGCGGUAUAGACCUAGAUGAUAUCAUCACGACCCCUCUUUUUGUACCGCUAGGGAUGCUUAAUGCCACUUCGCCAACUGGCGUUACCUGCGCUUUCGUGUCUCUCAGUGUGGUCAACACUGGGUGUUUCCGAGCAGCGAGGCUUACACCCAUUUGCAUUAGUUCAUCCAAAGUUCCUUACCCUUAUGCAUGAAUUAUUAAAUAAGUCAUCUUCCUAUCAAGGUUAAGGAGUCAACUUAGCAUCUCGGCGGCGGGAUUGAAUACCCAGAUCGAAUUAAAGUUCACGCCGCCCACCUUAUGCCACCGGUGACCGCCCUGUCUUUCUAGUAUCUAGUACUAGGACUAGUAGAGUAGAGGCACUACUGGGCGGGGCUUCCUCGAAGCUUUUUGAAUCAAUAAAGGAAGCCUAUUGAAUUGGGAAUAGAAGGGUAAUGGGAAUAUGUCAAUGAACUUAAAGCAGUGGACAAAAGGGGGGCGGCAGUCCCCUGGACAUGGUCCUUUCAGGCAGUGGCCAUUUAGUCCAUAGUCCAUAGGAUGGUCGGUGCAAGGCCAGAAAUUGGAACAUAUUGAUUCUGCUCGUUCCCGUCAUUCGCUUCAGGGCAUCAUAUUAUCCGAAUAAACAGAAAAUACCAAAAAGUCGCCCAACCUCUACAAGGUGCUGCUCGCUUUAUCUCAGCCACUAGUGGCUUAUCUAGUUGUCGGCAUUCCUACUUGCUCCUCCUUGCCCCCUACUUAAGAAUCCAAAGGUCACCUUUGGAUGUUGUCAUGACGCUUUGGUUAUGAAGGUUGCAUCCGGUCUAAGUUUAUGGAUGGAUUCAGUCAGCUAACUCCAAAGGAAGGGAGUCUUCUCAAAGCUGUCUAAGUCUUGUAAGGCUAGUAUAUCUAUAUAGAGAGAGGUCAUGGUAUGGAUGGAGGAUUUCUACACGCAACAGCAUGGUUGGAGCAUUCCUCCUUCUUUUAAAAGAAGACUAGAGGACGAAAGAAGAAUCUCUUACAUCGGAUAAAGCCUAAUUUCACUGUCCUUUGAAGAUUUGAAGAUAGUGAAGGCCGACUUCCUUUUUAAAGAUCACUCCACGAUGUGGCAAAUCCCCUUUUUUUAGUAGACUAGGCUAAGGGACGGACUUCAUCUCUUCUAUUUUCUUCACUUACACCUUACACUUCAGCUGAGUCUAACGAGGCUCAGGUGCGGAGCCUUCCACUGUGGACCGAGACUACGCAAAGGUAGAACACCAUGGAAACUUUGUCUAACGAGGCUUAGGUGUGGAGCCUUCCACUAUGGACCGAGAAUAUGCAAAGGCAGAACACCAUGGAAACUUCGCUGACUUUAUCAUCAACGUUGAUUUCACUAUGCUCAAUAAGAACCUGGAAUAGCGGAAAUAGAUUCAAACGCCUCUCUAAGAGAAAAACUGUUUCUUCUCGAUAGGGAAGCCCCAUAAAAUUCUUUUUUCAUUGUUUGAUACAAAAGAAAUCCCAUUUAUUUUUUGGUUGCCCCGUAAUGCGUGAAUUAGUGACCUUUUCUGGAAGAUUGAGAAUAUGAAGGUUAGCCCCUCGGCGCUUGGGAGGCAUCCUAUUUAAUAAAGAUUCUUCCUCUAGUUGAAUAGAGUAUUAGUCAGCUCCAUUAUAUUCCCCAUUAUUCUAGUUUCUCUCUAUUCGAAAUAUCAUAAGAGAAGAAAGCUGGCAGGUUGGAUCCUAGGGUAGAUUCUUGCUGUUGAAUGAUCGGGCGGCGAAAGCAUACAAAGAUAGUGAGGCUUCCAUCGCUUAGAUUUAGGCGAUAGGGCGCUCCACAGAUACGAUAAGAAGCACCCCUCAAUCAAUAGGUCAAUGAUUGAAAGAUAGUACCAGUAACAUCUCUAAUCUUUGAGAAAAUCGGGGUCUUUUCCACAUAAUAGCGUCAACCAAAGACCGAAGCAACUUUGCAGACACUAAAGAGAAAUACCUAGUAACUUCGUCGCUAAAAAACUAUUUGGAAAACUCCAAAACAUGACUGAUUUUAAUAUGAAUUGACUCCGCUUUGGUCACUAGCUCCGUAGGUCCCUAAGAAUCUUCUCUCGUCACUACCUCUCACCCAGUGGGAAGUAAUGAGGCUAGUCUCCCCCCUCCCCUCUGAAUGAAGAAGUAGUGGGGCCCCGGACUUCAUAUUCAUCAUUUUUGAAAGCGAAGGGAAGGUUCUUCCCCUCUACUUUAUUUGAAAGUGGCGGAGAAUACCACUCUAUCAAUAAUAAGAAAAAAGUAACAAUUCUGUUUCAAAUGGUUUGAGUUGUCUCCACUAGCAUCAUUUGAAGAAAGAACAAGAAAAGGUUUACUGUUUAGGAUAGAUGGAUGUGCCCAAUGGCUAUAGCUCUUCCAGCUUACUUAACAGGGUCCUUAGUUGAAUACCGAUCAAAAUUGCUUGAACUACCUCCUCCCGACAUGAAGGAAUGCGCAAUAAUCAUUCGGGGGCUCCCAAGCCUAAUGAAUGGAAAAUGUCGCUAGAUUUACCGGAUAAUCAAGUUGUACCAGAAUGUCUAUGAUCCCAUAUUAAGGAACCCUUGUCGCAGCCCUCAAGAAGCUGGAAAGUACCCAUGUGGCACACCAUCCACAAGCACUCCAAAGCGAAGCAUAAAAUGUACGAGUUAAAAGUCUAUCGUGGAAAUGAAAAAAAGGGGUCUCCCCUCCAUUUUAAGCUGACCCCAGCCGGGGCUGGCUUCUGGCAUAAAUGCCACUAGGUCAUCUAUGAUUUGCAUCUACAAGAAUGAAGGAAAAAAGAUUAGAAAACUAAAAAGAAAGCCAGGGCGUCCGGUUGAUGAAGUCUACCUGUGUAAUGUCAGGCUGAAAAAGAGGGGAUAGCAUUAGCGAGUCGGGAACUUUCACUGCAACUGAAGAGGCUCACACCUUACACAUGAAAGGUCUCAUUCAUGUUGAUUGAGGAGUUUCUUACUUACCGCUAAACCUACUCCUUCUGAGAAUGGUUUUACCCCGCUCCUCAAUCUUAUUCUGUUUCUGAUCCUACUUCAGAUUAUCUUUUAGUUGUGGAAACAAGCCCUUAUUCCUAUCGGUUGAGUAGCCCAAGCCUCUAUGCCUUGUAUGAAGGAGCAUCCACUGCGCCUACUAGUGGGUAUGAUUAAAGUAAAGAGCGGGUCUCUCAGAAAAUAGUACUUUAUCUGUAUCUGUCUCAGCCUCCCCUAUCACCAACCUGUACCUUCUUUCAAUGCACCAUUUAAGGCCAGAAAGCACCUUAUUCCUCCACCAGCUUCUUCUUGGCAUCAAGCCAGCCCUUAUUCCUUGCAUCAACAGGCAAUCCCGCAUAAAAGAAAGGCUACUGACUUGGCUGAUUCAACAAGGGAAAAAGGCAUCCAUUCAAACUGCUCCCAUUCCUAUGUUGACACCAAGAGAAACAAACCCUGGAGCCUUCCUCUCUAUCCAUUCCUUUUUCAUAAUCAUAAAGGAUGGAAAUGCUUAGCUUACUAAACCAGCAACAGCGGAGUAAGCUCCCAUAUCCGUGAAGGACUGCUUUCCAGCAGAGGAAAACUUCUCGCCUUUCUUAUUAUAAAGUUAGUUAUUAGAAAGUUUUCUGAUGAGCAAACUCUUUUUCUUCAGAUCCAUUUUAGUAACAAAGAAAUGUUUGAGGCCUUUUAUCUCGUCCAAGGCCUCAAACCUGAUAUCUGAGAGGAGAUGUCUUUGGGAGCUGCUAAAGAAAGUGUCUAAACGCAUUCAGGGACCAUGGUUGGUCACCAGGGACUUCAAUUGGUCCUUUCUCGAACUUUCAGGCAGAUUUUCUUUUGGGCAGUUGUUCACCGUUGGAUCUCGCCAAUACAGCCCCCUAUAGUUUUCGUUACCGAGAUAUCUUUUUUUUUUCAUUGUUCCCAGGGAUUUUUUGGGGAAUCUGCUCCCAUGCUGCAAACAGUCAAAUCUGAACUGAACCCUGUCGCUCUUCUUUCUUUCCUCGCCAUUGUUCCUAGGGAUCUUUUGGUGAAUCUACUCCCAUGUUGCAAACAAUCAAAUCGUAACUGAAUCCUGUUGCUCUUCUUUCUUUCCUUGCGAGCAGGAAGCACACCAGCAGCGUGCAUUGCGUGAUUCUAUUGUAUUUUUUGCACUUGAAUGGGUGGACAGUUGACUGGAAGAUAACUUCGAUUCGCCCGACCAGCAGGCGGGCGGCGUACCUAUCUUGUGUGACAACACUACAGAGAGAGUUUCUAUUCUAGGCUAGAGCAAUCCGAACUCUGGACAAAAUAUAAAAGAGGACCUCAGGCAUAUGUAAACACCUCAACGAACUCAUGUGGACACUCCUCAACCCGAGGACAAUCUCUCAAAUACACAUGUUGAUGUUGUUAACCCGUUUUCCUUUUCUUUGCUGAUUCCUCUCAAUGAAAUUUUCCAUGUUGCACUAAGUUACCUUCUCAAUUUCUUUCACGUAAUCAAACCCGGUAAUAAGAUUUGAACAUGGAUUAAUUCCCACCGACUGGAUCUUUCAUAGAGACCAAAUUAGGAAAAGAUGCUGACACCGAACAGUUAAAGAAUUCUCCGUCGCUUCAAGAAUGCCAGCCUAUUUGCUUUGAACCAAAGCAGACGCUGCCCAUGGAGAGCUUUUUCCUUUGUGAACAUUUUUGUUCCCAUAAGACAUGACAAAAAUUGGGCUUCCAGGCGCCUUACAAUAAAGAAGCCGCGACCCCUCGGUGUCUUACACAUCUUCUUUGACCCUGCCGAAGUAGCUUUCUUUCUUCAGGUAGUGAAGUCACUCCAAUUUUUGUAUGACUUGACACUCUAACGUCUGUUUCUUUCCACUAGUUACUUAAUUGUAUUCGACUUCUAUCGCAAAUCUAUUAUAUCUGAUUAAAUCUCUUCCUAACGCCUUUAGGGGCUAUGAAGAGAGCCCAGAUCCAGGCCCUCUUUUAGAAAGAAAAAAAUUGUACAAAAAGAGGGCUUGGCAGUAGCACUCCAUCCUGAUGUUUUUCCAGAAGCUCCUUUUCCGACAGAAAGAGAAAACUUUAGCCCCAGACUGAAAGGUUGGCGUCUCAAUCUAAACCAGCCUUGUCUACCAAGAAUCGAUACAUCGAGAAGGUAGCAUGUAAAACUAGUAUGCCCUUAAUUGAGGAAGUGAAAACUCGUUUGAAAAGCUUCUAUCUGACAGGAGGAAGUACUCAACUUGUGAAUGAAAGGAAAGAUGACGCCCAUGCGAAGUCAACUUAUUUAAGAGUCCUCUUUAAUUCAGGUAACUAAUUAAGCGCAUGUAUCUACCAGCAAAAGCAAUGUAUUGAGGAAAAGGCAAGAAAAUUGAGCUAAACCUCCUUCCUUCCCUGUGGUUGACUGAUUUUUCUUCCUUUUCCGGAAUAAUAUAUUCCAAGUCUGACUUUUAAAGCAUACGCAUUGAAAAAAAAUGAAGGAGCCUCUUUUUAUGCGACACUACUAUGGUGAAGAGUGAAUCGAGACUCUUUUUAUUGAGAUUUCCAGCUGGGAAUUCUAAAUUCUCUUAGUAGAGCCUGAAAGUAGCCCUUGGAUUGAUUCCUACCACGGACGGGUAUGCAUUUCAUCCAUAUCGUCGGCCUCACAUGGACGGAGAUGCUUAUGUUUAUCAUAUCACGGCUUCUAAGAUGCAAAUACAGGGGCUACUAUUGCUACGGGAGCUUAUUGGUGGAGCAAGAAGAGCGGAGAUGGUUAAACGAGUAUCCCACACCGAAAAGGUGCCCAUAUAGGUUUUCCUCGAAACCCCCCAGUAACUAAGGUAAACAACGUAGAAAAAGCACCUAUUUCUAUACCGGUUCCGGAAGAGCGAAGAAAAAAGGGAUGUUUUGAUAAUAGGAACAAAAAAGUGUUUAUAGCCGUAACGAUAUAAACAAGAAUACUCAUCCGAGCCGCAAGAACAUGUACAUACGAAAUACGAGAAUUUCCACCCUUAUCUAAAGACACGACAUGUUGAAAUAGCUUCGGUAGUUACACUUUCUGUCUCGCGAGUGGUCCUUUCUUUUAAGAAAUCGGAGUAGAGCCAAUUUCUCGUGCUUUCUCAGUGUUCCCCCCUUUCUUUGAGUGCCUCGCCCGGUUCACUGGUGUAUCAGCUACUUGUGUCAUCACCCUGCAAAGAGGUGGAACCAACCAAAAGCAACUGUUCCAGACAGUUUUCUUUAAAAGAUGGGUUAGAUGGCGAAAGCCUGGUUUCCAAGUUCCCUCCCACUCUUUUAGCUCUGAUUGUAUACGCUCUUCUUCCAAUAGGAGUUCAACAUUCAUUCAAAGUAUUCUCCCCUUGCCAUGAUUCAAGCAGCGUAUGGGAUCACUGCACUUCGAGCUAAUGAUAUAGUAGUUAGAAACUAGUGGUAAUAAAGAGUGACAGUUCUGACACUAAGUACUGUUUGAGUACUUAUAGUGAAGUGGUAGAAGCGGUCAUGUCCUUACUUUCUCUCUUCCUUCAGUUUGCCUCCACGAACGCGCCACUUAGAAUCCCUACUCAUAUUCCAAAGGCGCUACUUCAAUUCAAGCGCAAGCAUCAACUAUGUUCCUGUGGGCUUUUGAGGAGCAGGAGAAAUUGUUUGAAUUCUAUGAAAGAGUCUCAAAACUAAAAAUCUUUCUUAAGAACCUAGGCGACUUGCUUUAAAGCGGCGCUUUCGGGAUUUAGCGAGAACAACUAUAAUUGAAUCGGGAAUGGAAAGACUUCACUUCAACUCAAUAAAUGACGUCUACUUCAUAAGGAAGCGAGGUACUAAGUUUAGCGUCGAUAAGGCAAGUAGUGGAUCUUUAUUAUCGAAUGAUAUGGGAGGGAUCAUCACUGUCCAUAUGCCGCCCAAGGGUAUGAAAGGAAAGAGACGCUAUCUCUAUGAUUUUAUCCUUCGCGUAUCGGCCCCAUACUUCUUUGAUCUCCCUUUCUCCUGACGUAUGAAAGUAACACAGGCUUGGCCAGCGUUUUUCAAACUUGAUGGUCAAGUUCACUGCUACUUCAGUAAAUACGCCUUGGAUGGGCCUAACAACACUGUACCUGGAAGCACUUUUGUUUUCAACCGCCAGAUGGUAAAGGAAGGCUCCAUCCCUCCUUUCUCUUGCAAUCAUAAUAGCCGCACAGUCGAAUAUCAAGAAGACAAUUCCAUCCGAAACUUCACCUAUCGCAGAAUUUUUGGAGAUGGUCACGUCAGCGGCGGAAAGUGGAUCAUUCAUGCGUAGACUUAACUGCAAAAGAAAGAUUCAUGGGUAGAAGAUUUCUAAGUCAUUGAAGCAUCACACAGAUGACAGAUACUCUUCCAGCUCUCACCUACUCUAACCUUGCCAAACUGAGAAUGCAGCAGGUGAGAUAAGGAGUAUGUGAUCAAUGCCUUGGAUCUAUUGAGUGAUGGUUUUUCAGAACCAUAUUUAUUGCUGCACCUGGACCUCCACAGCUCCCAGCAAACCAAAGGAGGCAUGACCUCCAAAAUGAGAAUGCAACAGGUGAGGUAAGGAGUAUGUGAUCAAUGCCUUGGAUCUAUUGAGUGAUAGUUUUUCAGAACCAUAUUCAUUGCUGCACCUAGACCUCCACAGCUUCCAGUCCAGCUCCUGUUUAAGUUGGAGUUUCCUAUGGAAAAGGAAAAAUUGCCUAUGCUUAAUGAGUUUCCAUACCCAGGCCUAAGCGUGAACCUAUCCAAUUUCAAAGGGACUACGAGUCACCUUCUCUGAGCAAUAUUCUAUUUUUCAGAGAGAAGAAUGUACUAGAUCGGCUAAUGCUCCCAGGUUGACGCAAUGUAUUCGUGAUCAUAAGUGGUUGUUAAAAAAGGUCUGUUUUCGAAAUGGAGAUUCCUUUCCCCUAUGGUUGUAGGAACAAUCCUCACCGCCCUUUCAAUUCUAUCCAUAAGUCUCUAUGGAAGAAGCCAAUUAAAUAAAAGAAAGAAAAGAUUGACCGUCAAGUUUGAAAAAAGCUGGCCAAGCCCAUGGUUGAAGAAUGAGGCGAUCAAGAAAGCCGUGGGCCUCGUAGUACCCGCAUACGACAACUCUAUGGAGUUUUUGGGGUCGAAAGCCUAUUCGACGUCAGAACCAGAAAGGCCUUAUCUCAGCGAAUAGAAGAUACUCAGCUCCGCACAACAUAGGGAUUAGCACACUUUCGGGAAGCACAGGGAGGAGUGCGGGACGAACUCAUGCUGGAAAAACUCGUCGACGCCAUCAAGUAUCUUACAGAAUGAAAGCGAGACUGGACCUAGAUUCGCGUAUGUAAGUGAAAAUGAAAAGAAAUGAGUUCCCCCUCCCCUUCUCCUUUCUUGUAUAGAAGGGGAAGAGGAGCUCAAACAAGGUUCAAAGAUCCCCUCCCCAAAGUAUGGUUUAAAGAAAGCCUUUCGGUUUAGUGAGGAACAUGAUAGUGAAAGGAAGAAGAAAGGAAAUCAGUUUAUAGUGGCUUACCUUCGUACAUUCAAGAACAAUUGUGACUCCUUGGCAUCUAUCAAUGCACCGGUGCCCCAAUCUGAAAGCAUGGGAGAAAAAAAGACGCACAAACGAAAAAGGGCAAAAACAGGACGAAGUAAUUUCAUAUAUAAAAUGAGCGGUACACUGAACACGAACCCAAUAUCAAAGAACUUCGGGGGACUUGACUCCACCAAAAGGUUCUUUCUCUCACGUAUUUUCCCUCGUCCCCUUUUUUGAGGAAUUGAGAAAGAAAAGGGUAAAUCUAGGAUUCAAAGUCAUCGGGUUCUGCUAUUCAUAUGCCAGCAGUACUGAUCCUCCCUAGUUCAAUCAGAAUCGAGAACUGCGGAGAUGUCCUAACCGGCCUAGCCUAACCGUCUCUUUCUUUUCUAAUCCCUCCCCCUUCAUUCCUCGAUCCUCCAUAUCUCUUGGAUAAUUAAUUCCCCUCUUUCAAUUCAUGGAAAGCACGGUCGAAAAGACGACCUUUCUCGCUGGGCGAGCGCAUCCAAUUCUAAAGUCCUUUCUUAUUCUUAAACCACUUCCCGUUCAGUUGCUGAAAGGUGGUGAUCCCUAGAUUCAGACUCAAACUCCGAAAGCUGACCUGCCAAUAGACAUUGUUGGAGAAUACUCUUCACCAUUAUCAGAGGCUUCCCUUCCCUUACUCUAGGGCUUUUCUUCUCUUCUUCUCUAAGGACAGUGAAAGUCACCUGAUACAGGGCUUUCUCCUGUAAUCUGUCUCUCGAUAAGAAGCUUUCUUUUGAUCCGGGUUAAUCUCGUCUUCUUGAAGAAUUACGGAUUCCUAAACCUAGUAAGGGAAAGCGAUUCUACUCCAAUUGCAUUCAUCAGUCGGAUGAGAGUGAGAAUAGAAAGGAAGCCGGGAGGAAGAAUGGAGUAUAGCAUUACCUCUAGAGUACAACCCGGAGCCUUCAAUUUCUUUCCUAGUAAGGGAAAGCGAUUCUACUCCAAUUUUAUUCAUCAGCCGGAUGAGACUGAGAAUAGAAAGGAAUAUGCCAACUCCUUUCCAGUUCCCAAUAUUUCUUUGCUGAAUCACUUGUUGUCACUGUUAAGAUAGAAGGCCUGGAUUCCUCUGUUGGUUGUACAGUAAUUUGUCUGAGAAGAGAUGUUUGGGCGCACCGAUUUCUAGAUAUUACAGAUAGUGGAGGAUGCCUGGCUCUGACGAGUGCCAUCUCUUUCGAUCUAGCUCAAAUACCUAUUUAAGGUAUUUUCAUAAAGCGCAGCCUCCCUAGUAGGGUGGCUAAUGAGUAGGCCGCGGAUUUAUGACCUCCAAGCCAGAACUAUAUGGGGGGAUACCAAAUCAUAUAUGGGUUGAAGCAUUCACUACUACAGUGUAUUUAAUCAACAAAUUGCCAUUUUCUGUUAUCAGCAUGCAAUCUCCCUUUUCUUCUCUUUAUGGUCGUGAUACUUUUCAGGGGGAGAUCACUACCCUUUCUGAGACGUCUGACUAGUUUACUUUAAAUCAAUCUUCAGAGCAAAGUUCCGAUAGUACAGUUCAAGGUGCCAAUAAUUCAUCUUCAAAAAUCAUCCUAUCUCUGUUUGCCGCCUCCAGCGAGCACUUUAUGGCCUUAAACAAGCACCCAACGUAUACAAAGGGCUAUUGAAGAAAAGUUUUGUACUCAAUUAGUUACUCAGUCCCUCUAGCCGGGUGGGCGCCGGCCGGUUUUUCGACCAGAUCCCCCUAAAAACCAUACGUGCGGGUCUCCCCGCAUGUGGCUCAUGCCAUUCGAGGUGGCCCAUCCCAACAUUCAUUGGCAAAUCCUGUAGUGAAAUUGAGACUGCUCAACCUCGGAAAAAAUCUUACUACUCAGGAUAGUAAAUAAGAAAGAUUCAUCUAAAAUUGAGUGGAUAGGCAACGGGAGGAUGGGGGGAAGAAUAAAGACAAAAUGAAAGCAGGAAUGCCCCACCCCAUCCAAGAGCGCUUAUGUCAUAGGGGAACUCAUGGUUGGAAACAAUCCGUAUGGUUUGUUUUGAUAUCCGGUAGGAAUAAUAAAAAAAAAAGUCGAGGUUGGUUGGUGAGCCUAGUGAUAUGAGACUAUCUAGCUUGGUUCGGAUAGCACUUGUUGGGUUAAUUAUUUAUUUGUUGCUAAAUGUUACAGCCUAAAUAAAAGCACAUAAAAUGUGUAUAGAAGCACAAGGGAUGGAGCCUAGUGAUAUGACCCUACUUGUUUGGAUGGGUGUAGUUUGGAGGGAUCAUCAUAAAUGAUUAAAGUGUGUCGUUCAUGAUACAUAAAAUAUUCAGACAGAGCUGCUCCUGUAUAAGGAGGCUCUCUCAUGUCCAGUUUUGAUGUCUAACUAACUAACUUACAACAUAGGCCCGAAGAGAGAUAUUCAGGAAACCCGAUUUUCCGGCUUGGUCUCGCUCCCUUCCCGCACUAUUCCUCCCCACUAAAAAGAGCGGUUGAGAAUCUCGAGAACCUUUCUGAAGGUCUGUCUUCGCGGGGCAAUUGGAGCACCCCCUAUGCUAUGAUACUUGGACUAGGGGCCUCCUUCCCUUGUGCCUUUAUACACAUGGAAGUACCUUUUUCUUAUCAAUUCGCCUUCAUAACAAAAUAGUAAAUUUGGUGACUACUAUUUUAGAGUUCACCCUCUCAUCCCAAACUUACCCUUUUUCCAUGGAAGCCCUCCCCUCACUUUAUUGUUCUUCAUGAGUGGGAAGAAAUCAAAAUCUUUAUCAUCCAAUACCAAUCCGAGAACAAUAGGCUAAGCAUGCAGCCUAGCCGCUUCACUCGUCAAAAAUAGGCUCAGAUGGAAAAUUGGAUUCAGCUGGCUAAUUACUUGAUGACCCGGUAGAGAAUGGGAACAGAGAGUCGCUCCCAUAAACAAAUUAAUGGGACUCCUUCUCUAUGUAUCGAUUCUUGGUAUACAAGGCUGGUUUAGAUCGGUACGCCCAUAUUUCGGUCCUGGUUGAAGUUUUUUCUUUCUGUCGGAAAACGAGCUUCUGGCAAAACAUCGGGAGGCUUCUAAAGUUCGCUCUUGUCAAAUUCUCCAAAAUCUCAUCAACAUGUCUGAGGGAUGAUGAAGGCGAUGCCACAAUUGAGGGAACCACCUCUUACUCUUUUUUAGAUAAGAAUGCGAAACACCCUGACCCUGUCAACCAAGCCCACUCAGAUAGACUAAGUAGACUAAAAAAAAUGCACAAGAAAGUUCAUGACUCAAUGGAUCAUCUUAGACAAGAUGAAAUGGAGGAUUUUUCAUUGUCCCCUCCAACUGUUGGCUCCAUGCAGAUUCAUUUGAUUAUCAGAGGCAAAUUGAAAGUUACGCAGUGGAAUAUCCACUAAUCGGUGUUUCCAGAUACGGUUGCCGGUUGGCAUCUCUAUUAAAUUUUUCUAAACUAGCAAAAUCGUGGGACAUCAAAAGCGUUAAGUUGAUUGUUCACUGAAAGCCUUUGGUGUAAUAAACCGCAAGCCCUUCAGAAAGAAAUGAGCUACUUAGUAGUAGAAACUCAGAGAGACAGACAUAGAGGGGACUCUUUCAUACCUGCUAACUCCUAGGUGUUUACACAUGCUUGUGGUCCUCCUUUAUAUUCUUUCGGGAGAGUCACAGAACGAACAUGGUGCGGAUAUUGGAGGUGUUGAAAAAAGUAGAAGCCUCCAUUAUAAACAUUCCUGAGGGAAAGUCUGCCUGCAAACUCAACCUCCAGACUUUGUGAAGAACGGUUUAUCUACAACAUCUGGUGGUGCCCUCGUGGGCACGUUCUUCUCUGGGGCAGUCUGGUCUAAUAGAAGUCAUCUGACUCACAUGGAAUACGGUGUUCAUUUUCACCGAGCUUGUCGCUUGAGUCAAUACGCUACCUUUCCUAUCAACUUUUCUACAAGGUCUACUUUCAGACCGGGCCAAGCCUUUAGGUUGUUUAAGUAGGCUUCGGCUAAGGUUGUUGCGCUCCUUCCACCUCUUGGAAAAGUAGGCUGAUGGGAAAGCCCCCUCCUAUCGCAAUGGUGUGGGGCGUCAUAGGCUGUUACCCCGUAGCCAACUCGAACGGGCUGAAGUUCGAUGCAGAGCUUUUUGGUUGUUUAGUUAUAGCAGGACUGAGCAACUUCCUACAGCGUAAGUCCUUCUGGUUUGCACUUGGGUUCAUAACCGGUUCAAUUGAAUUAGUUGCACAUGAGUACGGUCUUCUCGGGGUCAGGGUUGCAUAACCCUUUUAGAUCGUUCUAUUCAUGCUUGAAAAACGACCCCAUAGCUCCUUUUAAUGGACAUUUCGAUCAACAACUUGGAGGUAUGGCUAAGUGGCUUAAGGCAUUGGUUUUCUAAAUUACAUACAAGAAGAUUGUAUCAUGGGUUCGAAUCCCAUUUCCUCCGGUACGAAAAUGAAAGGGGCGGGCGAAAUUAAGUGAAAGAACGAACCUCUUGGUGGAGUCCAUUCCCCCGGAGGACAGAAUAUGACUUCUUAGUGACUUGGAGCAGAGAGCCUGUUGCACCUUGUUUUUCUUUGACCGACCUAUCUUCUUUCUAUUAGCAAGCUCCCUUCGGCCGUCCAGUCCUUGGAGGGCUCUCGGUUCUUGAUCAUGUUGAGGGAUUAGGCGGAAGUUUAAACAGCCGCUCGAAAGCUUGAUGAACAAGAGAAAAAAGCCUAUCUGUUCUAUUUUCUUAGUUUAGUAAAGGGCUUUUCCCUUACUAUUCAAGUGGGAAGGUAGGGCGCUGUUCGUUGAAGAAAACAGACUUUAGGAAAGUGGUUCAGGUAGCUUAGUUGGUUAGAGCAAAGAACUGAAAAUCCUUGUGUUAGUGGCUCAAAUCCACUUCUAAGCAGGCAAAAGGUCCAAACCAUAGCCAGAAGCGAGCUGGAUUUAUAAAUGAAAGUGAAAGAGUAAGCAAUAAAAUGUGAGCGCUCCUGCACUAUACGGAGGGCUUUUUGGCGGCAGGGUUAGGGUGGCUUGCUUGAGGCGGAUUAAAAAUAAAGGUGGAUUACUCAGAUUGGUUCUCGCAUCCGUGUGCCUAAAAGGAUGGGCGAGUUAGGUUUGAGUUUUCAUCGAUCGGGUGGAUCUAUAUGCUUCGAGGUGGUGAGACGAGGUGUAGCGCAGUCUGGCCAGUGCAUCUGUUUUGGGUACAGAGGGCCAUUUGUCCGAAUCCUGUCACCUUGAUGUGGUAGCCUUCUCCGUGGUCAGACAGUAAGGCAAACAGCGCAAAGCAUAAAGUAAAUACAUGAUGCCUCGACUAAGUAAAGUGUUUUUGCUCCUUAUUGGUAGUUUCGUAGCAGGUUGUUUCGUACGUUUUCUAGGAUCAGAUAGAAGAACCACCCCAGAAUUGAUCCUUCUUUUCUUCUUACUUUUACUAAGUCUGACUCUAGUUUCUCGUUCAACAAAAAGAAAAAGGAGUGUGAUUCUUUUAUUCCUAAUAUUUUUCAUCUCUUUCUUUUUCUAUUUUCUCCGGAUCUACUUACUUUCUCGCUUAGAUGUUCUUUUGGCUGAUCUUUUCUCUUUUGUUUUGGUUUUGAGUGUGGGGGGAGGGCAAGGACUUCCUCUUCCGGGCCCUUCAAACUCCUCAUCGGAAGAUUUAUUCGGGCUCCAGGUCCUGUCGGAGCUCUUUUCUUCUUACUUUUACUAAGUUUGACUCUACUUUCUUGUUCAACAAAAAUAAAAAGGAGUGUGAUUCUUUUAUUCCUAAUAUUUUUCAUCUCUUUCUUUUUCUAUUUUCUUCGGAUCUACUUACUUUAUCGCUUGGAUGUUCUUUUGGUUGAUUGUUUAUCUUUUGUUUUGGUUUUGAUUCAUCGUAUAGUCACAAGCGCUUAGAGGUAUGAAGUUAAACGAAUCAUACUAUCUGAAGGAGCUUACGUUCUUAAAGGACUCUUAAUAAAUAAAGCUUUUUUGAAGAAAGCAAUUCAAGUCGGGCUUGAAAGAAGCCACGCGAUCCGAUCAGAAGAUAUACAAGAAGAUAAAGGGAGAAGGACUUUUUUAAAUCUGAUCGGUGUAAACAUGAUAUUAAUUAGUCUUUGUCCUUUCGGACUCGACCCGCUCCUACCCACUCUGUGUACUCUUUCACGUACAGCCUCUUUUCCUGCUACACCCGGAACACUAUACUCAGGGUUCCAAACCUCCAGUGAGUAACUAUAAACGAUUGUGUCAUUGAGGUUUUCCACUACAAACUGGCAUUCAAUGGAAAAAUAAUAUCAUCCAUCAGGGAAAAAGGGACAAUGAAAUAACUUCAUCCAAAAAAUACAAAUCCCACCUUUGAAAUUCGGGAAAUGGUUGGACUAUAGCUAUUAUUUGUUCUCAUAUAUUAUCAAAAAGAUCAUCGAAUGGAUCCGUAGUCUUCUCAAAACUCGGUAGUAUGGGGAAAUCCGCUUGGGUGAAAAAGGCGUGUAAAUCUAGUUCAAUCUUUUAAUCUAUCUCAAGAGUAAGCUGCUCCGUUGUAGCCACUUCUGUACCUGUACCGGCUUGAGCGGCUGAAAUAUUGACACUGGGAGAUUGGGGAUUGGCUAAAACACUAGAAUAUGCACAUUUAAGGAUUCGACGAUAAAUAUCGGACAACAAUCUCAUUUUCCUCCUCAUAUUCUGUUUGACUUAUGUUCAUUCGCUUUGCGAGCGGAGCAGUAUACCAAAAAAAAUAAGUGACUACCUUACAUAAGCAAUUCUUCUUAUUCAUAUUCUUUCUUAGUUGAAGUUCCCAUUCUUCGGAUUUACCCAAUGAGCACAACACUUUCUAGGGUAGGUGGUUCCGCUAUUCGGCAACUUGCUAAAUUCCACCAUGCAGCGGCCAUCGCCUACCCUAAUGCUCCUGCAAGCUCACCUUCCUUUUUGAUCAUUUUGAUAAAGGGGGAUGACGAAAGUGGACAAAACAAACUCGCAUUUCUCAUCGAACAAAUACAGGAAAAGAACCAUAUUGAAAACGCUCCUAACCCAACUCCUUCCUUCGUAGAUCCCGUAUAUUGUAAGUGAUCCGAACCUGCCCGGAGCGAGCCUUUCAAGUCUAUCUUAUAGUUUAUCUUGAUGAUCUCAUUGUUUUCAUGAGAGCAUCCUUUAUUUUCAAGGCUGAAAACGGAAUAGUAUUCGUGUCCAAAAGUGAACAAAGCCCUAGCUUCUAGAGCAACGAGGCGAGUGUUCUCGAAGAGAAAAUUGUGAUGGAAAAAGCGUGAGGAGAAUUCUAAACUCGAGAUGUUAGAAGGUGCAAAAUCAAUGGGUGCAGGAGCUGCUACAAUUGCUUCAGCGAGAGAUGCUAUCGGUAUUGGAAAUGUCCUUAGUUCCUCGAUUCAUUCCGUGGCGCUAAAUUCAUCAUUGGCUAAAGAAUUAUUUGGUUAUGCCAUUAGAGCUUCUAGUGAUAAUAAGAAGCAUAAAGAAAGAUGGAUAUCUGGGUGUCUCACAACCGAGAAAAUUAGGGGGGUCAUUUUGGUUUUGGGUAUGCGAUGAAUAGGUUCAAUAGACGAGUCUAUAUAAAAUAGAAAAUGAAAUAAAUAAAAUUCCAUGAAUAGAUAGAGUCAACGGUACGACAGAUAUCGGAGCAGGCAGCAAUGGUGAAGCUGGAUGCUCGAAGUCAUUUUAGAUACGGCAAGACAACUCAGGAGGGGUAGAAAGUUGCCACAACCUAGGAGGGGUUUAUAGGAAUCCAAAGCGAAUGGGUCAGUCUUUUAGUUCUCCCAGAUUAGAAUAUCAAAGGAGGACGUUCUUUGACCGGCCUAUCUUCUUUCUAUAAGCAAGCUCCCUCCGGUCGUCCAGUCCCUACACGGCUCUCGGUUCUUGAGAUUCUCAAAGUCCGUACCUGUACCGAAGAGACCAGACCUUGGGAAGGCAUCACCUUCACUUGACAGAUUUAUUCAAUUGAACUCAAACUCAAAGGAGGACCACAAGCUUAGGGCUCGACGAAACACAUCGUGUUCUCACUUAGCAGAGUCCUGUGUUUUUAAUAAAUAGCCGCUACCCCUGGUAUGUUCCUCUUUCCUAAUCAAAAGAUAGGAGACCAUCUUAAAAGACGAAUACGAAUUAGUAGGGCUGCCCCCAAUAACUCUUUUUGAAUGGACAUCUGAGAUAGCAUGAUUAGUUCCACAAAUCUCACUGCACUAACCAUAGUAAACUCCUUCUCGUUGUACCGAGAGAUUGUUUUUGAGUUCAAAGAAGAUGCCUCCAACUGCUUAGGGGAACCCACUCUUCUUCCUUGCGUUCGAUUAGGGGCCCCUGCCCUCCAUUCUCUCAAGUACCUCUCCGCUUCCUCUGCUUGCUUUCAUGUAGUUUAUUGCUUAGGUAAAAAAGUUUAUUCCGGCUAGACUUUCUUCUUCUCUUAACUAGGAUUCUCUCUGCUUCCUCUAUUUGCUUUCAUGUAGUUUAUUGCUUAGUUAAAAAAGUUUAUUCCGGCUAGAUUUUCUUCUUCUCCUAACUAAAAUCAUAUUCCAUUCAAUAGAAAAUUCUUUCAAUUCAACGAAAGAGAUUCUCAUAUUCCGUAGAUGCGAGAUAUAGAAAUUUGCCUUUCAUAGUUGUGGAAGCAGUUUUGUUGUUGGAAUCCUUAUUUGUUAAAGAAGAAGUUAAUGGUCGAGUAACAAAUCUUUUUCAUUCCGUCAAAAAUCAAUUUUACGGUAUAGACUCAUAUGACCUCCCCUUCUAUGCCUUGCGGUAACGAAUCCUAUGGCAAUACGACCUUUACCACAAUGAUGGCUUCUAAUAAUAAAUUAGCUCAGUCAUUAAUUAUGCAAUGACUUUCUUUUUCAUAGCGUCAACGUUACCUUUAUAUCUCCCUCGUCUAGUCGAGAUUCCAUAAGAGAAAGGGAUCAAAUCUGUAGUUGUAGUUUCUAUACCUCAAUCCAAUAUCGCUUCCAUUCAUCAUCCAUUCUGAGGAAAGAUUCUUGAAUAACAGGCUAAGAAUAGUCUUAUAAGUCCUUGUUUGUUAUUUAUGCUUCAGCAAGAAAGUAAUAGGCGACCAUUUCGCGCGGUUCGGGGGGCACUUGAGUCAGCGACUAGAGCAACCUUUGAAGGCGCUCGGCCUUCUCAAAUUUAGGGUUUCGUUCCGGCCUUGUUUCGUAGUGAAUUUAUGGAUUUGAAUACUUCUACAAUAAAUUCUCUUUUGUAAAUUCAACUUGAAUUAUACCUGGAACAGAGAAAAAGGGUAUCCAACGCUACCUCUCUUUUUGUUGGUGAAGUGAAUGAAAUCGUUGUCGCCUACUUCACUGAGUUGUGGUUCUACAAAGCCACCUAUGUGUGAUUCAUCCUAAGUAGCUAACCAAAAAACGACUUCCUUGUGGUAGUAAUUGCGAAUGAGAAAGUAGGGAGCGGUUCCAAACCUUCCAAAAGUGAUAGGUAUGUGUUGUUUCUUGGCACUCGCUUUCUAUAUUAUGCCAACCUAAAAAGAGAGAUGGAAAGUGGAUUACAGUUUCGAUAGUCUCGAGAAGGUAUGAAACUAAGAUAGUAACUAUUUCUAGUAAUAAUUAAGAGUUAAGCGCCUUCAAGGCCUAUAAAUAGAAGCUUCUUUCAGUGUAUAUUUUCAAAGAGAGACGUAGAAGUCAAAAAGAAAUAUCGGAAAGCAUGGGAGAAAAAAAUAUGCACAAACAAAAAAGGGCUAAAAAUGAAAUUCCCCUAGCAUCUCGGUCACUUUUACGUUUUCGUUAUUUUGUAAUCCCCGGGACUUUAGGGAUCGUUCCUGCGCAUCUCCUUACUUUAUAGCUGUUAUUGCUCCGGUUCCAGAAGGUGGGAAGGAUCGUUGCCGGUUUGGAAAGCUUUGUUAUACGGAUAUUCCAUCCAAAUCUGCCACUCCUUGGGCGAGGCCUUCUGUUCUAUGAACACCCCACCACUGAAUGAUUCACUUUCAAGUUCUCGCCUCCGACCCGGGAGAACACAGGGUCAAGCCAAGCCCUGACCCGCCUAAAUGGAAUUCAUAUCUCCUUCGUCUGGUCGAGAAGGGAGGGGAACUGGACUCUGCCUCUAAGUUCUCGCCUCCGACCCGGGAGAACUCUCUGAAAAAUAGAAUAUUACUAAAAAAGGUGACUCGUAGUCCCUUUUCGAGCGUUAUCUUCCCUGUGGAUGAUCCAGUUCUCGAGUUGCAAAGCACAAUUCAGUAUUGAGGAAGUAUCGUACCAUGAUAUUAUACUCCUUGGGUUCUGCUGGCCUCAUGCUCCAAACUGAUGGCGUCUCGAUGUUCUCCUGGCGCUCUCCCCCUUUAUGAAGUAUGUAAAAAGGCUUAGCCUUAGGUGGUCGUGACCAAGAAACUACUGGUUUCACUUGGUGGGCCGGGAAUGCCCCACAACUUAAUUUAUCCGGUAAACUACUAGGGGCUCAUGUAGUCCAUGCUAUUCUAGGCCGGAGCAAUGAACCUAUUUGAAGUGGCCCAUUUUGUACCAGAGAAGCCUAUGUAUGAACAAGGAUUAAUUUGACUUCCCCACCUCUUCAAUGAAGACAUAUUUUUUUUCUUUCUCCCUCAUUUCUCAUUUUGUUGAUUGAAAGAGAAUAAGAGCUAUCCAUUAAGUAAAGAGAGGGUUUUCGGUCGGUUCCCGUUUGCCUUCCCCACUCAUAGUCCAUUAGUGGGUAAGGUGGUCAACUUAAAGGGCGCCCGCCUUCUCUUCAGACGUGUCCUCGACAACCUGGCGGUUCUUCGGUCUUCGCUUUUGGGGGCGAGAGUGCUUGGUCGCUGGGGUUUCCUUUUCCUCAACCAAUUUGGUUGUGUUAGCCCUGAGAUUAGUCUAACAUUUUGUUAUGAGCUGGGUGGAUUGAAGGUCAGAUAAAAUUUGUGUUCGAGUGGCACAGCACCUUCGAUCGACCAUAGGGCCUAUUGUACCCUUACCGAAUUCAUUCUAUUAAAAUCUUCAUGGAGAGUUCAAUUUCAUCGGGUCCAUGUCGAAGACAGCGGGGCAGGCGUUACACCAUUCGUGCAGGUUGCUACUUAUGCGACAAGGAAUUUUGCUACCAUAGGUGACUACGAGGCCGAAGAGUCUUACUACAGGGCAAGACUGAUUUGGGUUCCAAAGUUGUUAUAAUGGCGGGACGGAAAGAGAGGAAGCUACUACUACCGGGCGAGAUGUUAGUGGAAAAGAAUAGGGUUCAGAGAGAGAGUGAGAUAGGCAGACAGGGAGUACGCAGCCGAACAACCGCUGGGGUUUCAAGUAGUGAUAGCUGAACUAAUCAGAUGGGCCGCCCCAAAAGAAGGACUUCGUUGAAAAAUCAAAAUCUAUUGGUUACAUCUCACGUACUUGCCCAUAUUACUUAUAUAGGGUGACCCACUUCUACUUACGCCUCGAAGACUCAAUAGCAAUUCCAUCUCGUCUUUCCGGGCCCGGGAAGGGCAGAGUGGUCACUCAACCAAUACCGGCUUGUACAAGGAAAGCGGUCCCUUACCUUCUCUAUUUCCUUCCCGUAAUCGAACCCGGUAACACGAUUUGAAUGUGGAUUUAUUCCCAUCGACUUCCCGAAAACGCAUGUUGACGGAUUCAGCCAAUUCACUUGUCAAAGCUUAGUUAUCCGUGAACGAGAACUCGUUUUUCCUGUUGGCUAGCUUAUGAUGGUUUCCUGUCCCAAGUCAACAUAUUUCUUUUUUUGCUCCAUCUUGGUAGCAGGCUUGUGUGCGAGCUUGGUCUGAUUUCAAUUCCUAACGCCCAAGGUUUUCCACUCGAUGGAUCCCACAAUUAUCCUGGUAAUUCGUGGGUGCCUAUUCUUCGAUCCAAACUGGUGAUUCACCGCGUUCCCUUCUCUAGUCAGGAAUGGAAUCAGGGAUGCCCCAUGGCAUCAAUGAAGAAGGCGGCACAAACGAGGCUUGAGGUUUUCUUAAGGAAGGCAGCAAGGGCUGACGGAGGGUGGAAAACGAAAGGCGUUUUUUGGUCCCCCUGAUCCAGGGGGUGCUUGUNNNNNNNNNNNNNNNNNNNNNNNNNNNNNNNNNNNNNNNNNNNNNNNNNNNNNNNNNNNNNNNNNNNNNNNNNNNNNGGGGGGGGGGGGUGUGCCACGACAAAACAAGGGAAUGAAAGGCUGCUUUACAUUGGAUGCUCUUUAACCUCCCCACAAUGAUGGCUCAGUUGUCUUGGGUAGCGUUGAAGCUUGAUUCUUCGAAAGACUUUUCUUGGUCAUCAAUAUGACCUGUUCUUAAUAGAACCGAUCUUAUUCUCUAAACAAUCGGAAUUUUGUACUUCUGUCGGAUCCUCACUAUCUCCUGAUCGAGCUUGUGUAGGUAGAACAAUCGAGCGAUUUCCUUCGCAGAUCCAAACGCGCUCACAAGGCGCACAAUAAGAAUAAGACCAAUAGAGACUUCAUAAGGGACCAUUUGAGCUGCAGAUCGUAAUGCUCCUAGAGAGGCAUAUUUCGAAUAUAGAGGAGUGAAAGUUCCCAACAAAUAAGUACUUUUUCAUAUCCU
rnacentral:lncRNA from 1 species